GAUGAACGCUGGCGGCGUGCCUAAUACGUGCAAGUCGAGCGAACAGAUGAGGAGCUUGCUCCUCUGACGUUAGCGGCGGACGGGUGAGUAACACGUGGAUAACCUACCUAUAAGACUGGGAUAACUUCGGGAAACCGGAGCUAAUACCGGAUAAUAUAUUGAACCGCAUGGUUCAAUAGUGAAAGACGGUUUUGCUGUCACUUAUAGAUGGAUCCGCGCCGCAUUAGCUAGUUGGUAAGGUAACGGCUUACCAAGGCGACGAUGCGUAGCCGACCUGAGAGGGUGAUCGGCCACACUGGAACUGAGACACGGUCCAGACUCCUACGGGAGGCAGCAGUAGGGAAUCUUCCGCAAUGGGCGAAAGCCUGACGGAGCAACGCCGCGUGAGUGAUGAAGGUCUUCGGAUCGUAAAACUCUGUUAUUAGGGAAGAACAAAUGUGUAAGUAACUAUGCACGUCUUGACGGUACCUAAUCAGAAAGCCACGGCUAACUACGUG
rnacentral:rRNA from 1 species